GUUCCGGUGACCUUGUGGUUAGAAUGUCCGCCUCGGAUGCGGGAGGUCGCGGGUUCAAACCCCAACCGAGUCA